rnacentral:lncRNA from 12 species
AAAUAAGAUUCCAAGUGUGUCCUGAAAAGACCUUCCUGAGGACCAGUCUCCUGGGAACUUAGCAAACAGUGAACCUCCAACUCUCUCCAUCUCAUCUGGGUAACAGGAGGGGGCUGAUGACAACUGAGGAGGGAAGGAGGGAGAAAGCAAUACUCAAACUUCAAAGGUUUGGAUACAGUUGUCAGCAAGAGGCAUCUCCAAAUGCAGUCUGUGCUAGACAGCAAAAAAUGGCAAUAAAUUCCUCUCCUCCCACUAAGAAUCUUAAUUGGCCAUUUGAUUUGCAUUGACCAAUUGGACAUCAGCAAAUGUGACGCAGUCAGAGGCUUGAAAUCGCUUCAGCAUUCUGGUCUGCCCACCUGCUGAGCUGAGAGCCCUGACACCACCAUAUGAUUCAGCACAACCUAACCUGCCGAAGGAUGGAAGACCCUGCUGCCAACCUACCAACUACUAGACCUGCGGGGAGUCCAUUCUAGAUCAUCCCGCAGACCUGCCAGCUGACCAGCUGGCCCACGCCAAGCCAGAACUUGGGAAUUAUAAACUAAAU